GACAUGUCAAUAAUAUAACCUGGGGUCAUCAGGUGUUUCGGGUCUUUCAACAUCACAAUCUUCCCAAGGUUGAUCAGGCCCUGGCUUCUGUCCCAGCAGCAUUAGUCCACGGGUCAGGUCUCUUGAUCCACGCCACCUGGAGGCUUGCUCAGCAACGUCUGUAAUGGUCCUGAUGGCUCUACUCUUUGCAGCCCCCCAAAAUGCUAAGGGGAGAGUAGGCUCUGCACAGCGAGCAGCCAGCAAAACCUCUCUACACCCCAGCUCUAUAGGCUCGUACAGCAGUUUACUUCAAGCAGUUUAAUGUUUAUAAAAUAGAGUAUCAAAUUAAAUUGUAGAAAAUUCCAUAAAUACAGGCAUGUUAGGAUUCCACAACACACAAAGUCACAGGUUAGCUUUGCCUCAAUAAUAGUCACAAAAGCUUAGGGUUUGUAUAGCACCUUAGAAGUGUAAAAUGCCCCAAGAGCUUUGCUCACCACUGUUGGGAAGUGAUCUAGGAAAGGAAAAAACAAAAGGGAAAUCAAGCUGAAGGGUCUCGGCUGAAACGUCGACUAUACUCCUUUCCAGAUACUGCUUGGCCUGCUGAGUUCCUCCAGCGUUUUGUGUUUGUUGCUUGGGUUUCCAGCAGCCGCGGAUUUUCUCUUGUUUGUGAGGGAAAUCAGGAACGUGCGUGUGUUUGUGUGUGUGUGGUGAGGGGAUAUUGAUAGCACAGAAGUUCAGUCAUGUGGUGAAAAACUCUGGGCCGCAUGGCAUUACUCGACUACCCGCAGAGACAGAAGAGGGAUAUAGAAUAUGCAGUGAAUGUUUCGCGAAAUAAAAUGGUAUACCGCAGAAGAAAGAAAAGCUGGAACAUAACACAAACUCUGGAAGACGUCAGAGGGUCAGGAAUCUGUGGAAGCAAAGGGAUGGGUUACAUUUCAAUUCGAGACCAUGCAUCAAGUUUCAAGUUCAUUGCCAUAGCUAUUGUUUGCGUGGGCUUUGAGGCAGAAGGCGCGAUGGGGACAGAGGAGACGCGAUGCUGUAAGCUGGGUGAAGGAAUGGACCCCGAGCGGGAGUCCAAUGCCAGGGUCUUUGGCGAGGAGAGGAGAUGAAGACAGAGUCGUGAUUGGUCCCAGGCCGCAGGUUGAGGAGGUCGGAGGGGAUCGAAUGGUGGAAAGAAGACUCCAAUAAUUGAGCUCCAACAGUUAUGCACGAAGUGGUUGAACUUUGAUAAGAUUGGCGUCUUUUACUUUCCUUUUAUAUUUUAUCUCUAUUAAUUACAUAGUUCCAGUAAGAUCUAUAAAGUGUAAUCAUUUAAUCGCAUAUGGUGUAUUGUCUGUUAUUUGGCGGGGUGGGGUACAUCACACAGCAUCCACACAAACUUGAUUACCCAGUUUGGUGGAGCCGAAGGCUGCUUCCCCAGAUGAAAGUGAGCUGAGUGAGCCUCAGGAUUACUAGGGGGCUACAUCUGGGGGCUCGUCUGGGAUUUGAUUCAGUAGGAAGCUGUGUGAUCGCCCUCUUUAAAUUAUGCAUGCUGCGGGGACGGAAAGCUGGUGUGCCUCGGUGGGAUUGCUGGUUAUGACUGCAGGCAUGUUGGGUGGGGUGGCUGUUGGUACCCUGGAGGUCUUUGUUUGAGUUCAGACUAGCACUGACGAGUUGGUGGUGGGACUGCUAAUGUCUAUUGGUCCCCAGGGUGAGGCGGGGCCUUGGGCUGUCCAUACUAUUAGGCGAGAGAGGAAAGAGUGGUUUGAUUCAGAGGUAGUGUCUGCGAAUAAAUGUUCCAGCUAUGGCAGGCUCGGCCUGGUUUUUGGGAUAAUGUCCACCCCUAAAGGGGCAGAGGCGUACGAGACAUGAGCGGAGCGGAUCUCUCAGUUGUUGGGUGAGUGGCAGUGCUCGGUUGAGGGAGAGCGACAGGGAUUGGUUGAAAGUUUGAGUAGGCGGGCUGGUGACAGUGUUAGAACUGUCAGGGUCAAUUACCCCAUAGUGACAGCUGCCAGUUAUCUGAAAGUUGGGGAAAAUAUUUCAGUGUAUCUUCUCUGGCUAGGGGGGCAGCUGAAUUGCUUGCAGUGCCAGGGGGAUCAUUUAAGGGGAUGAGCCCCUCCAUCAGUUGUUCAGCUGAUCAGAGAGGUGUCAGGAAACUUAGUGGAGGCCCAGUGGGGGAACGGCUUGGGGUCUCUGGGAGAGCACAUUCCCAGCAAUGUACCAAGGAACUCCCGAAAGGAACAGACCCUAUUCCUGAUGGCUUAGAGGGACCGUGCUCUCGGGUGUCAUUAUGGUUAGAUGGAAGCUAUGCUAAAGCCAUCCUCGACCUCGGGGCGCAGGUCAAGUUGUACAGUUUGUUUUACAACCGGUUUCUGAAGCAUUUACCCUUGACAAUAUUAAGGGCACUGGAGAUUUGGAGUACCAGUGCCAGUGACUAUCCAGAAGACGAUUAUUGGUCAGUGAAACUGGAGUUCAUGGGGGCAUUGUCUGUGCACUCAGUGUUUCAAGCUGCUUGUGAGGACGUGUGUAGCAGCCUUGGGCCGGUACCGAAUUUAAAUGAGGGCUGAUUGUGAUAUGGCCUGGGGGAAGUAUCUGAGGGUGAGACCCUCUUAGUGGACACUCCGAAAUACCGUGAGGGAUGGGAGUUGACCGCUGAAGACACCUCGGUGAGAGAGAGGUCACAGCGACUGGCCCCUGCAGCUGUGGAAGAUGUAGGCAGCAUGUGCGUGGAUUAUAAGACCCUGAACAGGCGCACUGUCAUUGACCAGAAUACGGCCCUGAGGGCCAAAGACGCUAUGGUCUGUUUGUAUGGUGCGGCGUGGUUUAAUGUGCUGGAUCUGAGGAGUGGAUGUUGCCAGAUCCUGAUGAGUGAGGCUGACAAGGAGAAGGUGGCCGUUAUAGGUCCCCUAGGAUUCUCCUGGUCCGAAAAGAUGCCCCAGGGCAUAUCCGGAGCCCCUGCAACCUUCCUGCGAAGCAUAGGGAAGACCAUGGGGGAUGUGGAGGUGUUUGGAGUUUUGGCGUAUGUGGAUGAAUGCCUAGGGUUUGGAUUCGCCUUGUGGGACGAUGAUGUGAGGCGAGUGCUGGAGCUUGUCAAAGUGGAGAUGGGGAAACGGAAUUCCGAGCUGAAACUGUGGUCAUUUACGGAUGAACUAAUCCAGAGAGAUGAAACAAUGACCAACCUUCAAAAGGAUCAGCAGAAACUCAAGACAUCGAUCCAGAACAGAUUGAAAGAAGCUGGUGGUGUAAUUGCGUCACAGAUGGAGAUGGACGUGAAGCAUGAGUCAGAACUGUUGAGACUGGGGCGAGAGUUGGAGGAGUUAGAGAAGAAGCUGACUUCUUGACCGCAGGAGGCUGGAGAGGCUGCAGAGGCAGCCCAGGCUAAGUGCUUCAGUUUGGAGAAAAUCAAACAGCAGCAACCGAUCGAGGGAAUGAGGAAGAAUAUGGAUUCGAAGGAUGAUGUGAGGGAUGUGUGGUACAUGCUGCCUUUCGCUAACUUCCCCUUGAUUGAGGAAGAGACUUUUGGCCCUUCCCCCACUGAGUCAGGUGUAGUGGGGAGGGCUAUCUGUGGGCAGCCUGAGUUAUAGCAGGACCUGGUAGGAAAAGAAGCGGGGCCCUGGACGUGGGUCAGGGGGCUCUGAGUUGCAGUGGGGGCAUGAGUGAGAGAUUGCGAGAGGAGUUGGCAAGCAGACCCGAGGUAUCCCCAGUAGCGUCCGAGCCUAAAGGGUUUAGGUGAGGGAGUACGGAGAUCUCGGAGGAUUAGGAAACUCCCAGAUAGGUCGGCCUAUGUAGCGCCCAUGGAACAGGGCGUAAGGUCUACUGUUUGGGGAGCAAUGUGACAGUUUGUACCUGGAUUGGGUUUUUGUGUCUGCAGGAAUGGUUGGUGAGUUAUUUAGAAGUCAUGAGGACAUGACUAAAAUUGGUAGGGGGAGAGUGUAAGGGGUUUCUUCUUUUAUGUUACUGCUAGGCUAAUAAAAAUGGCUUCUUUGUUAUGUCAGAAUAAAAUGGCUUCUUUGUUAACUGCUGAGAAAGUGUUUCUCUCUCACAGCUUGUUUGGGUUAUAAUUACUGAUAAGAGAAUUGUAUUCAUUUGCUAACCAAUUGGGAUAGAUGUUAUUCUUUCUUGUGUAUCUGUAAGCUAUUGUUUGCGUGGGCUUUGAGGCAGAAGGCGCGAUGGGGACAGAGAGAGGAGACGCGAUGCUGUAAGCUGGGCGGCGGAAUGGACCCCGAGUGGGAGUCCGAGGCCCAGGGUCUUCGGUGAGGAGAGGAGACGAAGACAGACUCGUGUGGAGCGUCUGGUCGACCACCAUGGUUGGUCCCAGGCGGCGGGUUGAGGAGGUUGGAGGGGAUCGAAUGGUGGAAAGAAGACUUCGUUAAUCGAGCUCCAACUGUUGUGCACGAAGUGGUUGAACUUUGAUAAGUGUGGCGCCUUUUACUUUCCUUUUAUAUUUUAUCUCUAUUAAUUACAUUGUUCCAGUAAGAUCUAUAAAGUGUAAUCAUUUAAUCGCAUAUGGUGUAUUGUCUGUUAUUUGGCGGGGUGGG